AUUGAACGCUGGCGGCAGGCCUAACACAUGCAAGUCGAACGGUAGCACAGAGAGCUUGCUCUCGGGUGACGAGUGGCGGACGGGUGAGUAACGUCUGGGAAACUGCCCGAUGGAGGGGGAUAACUACUGGAAACGGUAGCUAAUACCGCAUAACGUCGCAAGACCAAAGUGGGGGACCUUCGGGCCUCACACCAUCGGAUGUGCCCAGAUGGGAUUAGCUAGUAGGUGGGGUAAUGGCUCACCUAGGCGACGAUCCCUAGCUGGUCUGAGAGGAUGACCAUCCACCCUGGAACUGAGACACGGUCCAGACUCCUAAGGGAGGCAGCAGUGGGGAAUAUUGCACAAUGGGCGCAAGCCUGAUGCAGCCAUGCCGCGUGUAUGAAGAAGGCCUUCGGGUUGUAAAGUACUUUCAGCGGGGAGGAAGGCGGUGAAGUUAAUAGCUUCACCGAUUGACGUUACCCGCAGAAGAAGCACCGGCUAACUCCGUGCCAGCAGCCGCCGUAA
rnacentral:rRNA from 1 species